rnacentral:rRNA from 1 species
AACGAACGCUGGCGGUGUGCUUAACACAUGCAAGUCGAACGGAAAGGCCCUGCUUUUGUGGGGUGCUCGAGUGGCGAACGGGUGAGUAACACGUGAGUAACCUGCCCUUGACUUUGGGAUAACUUCAGGAAACUGGGGCUAAUACCGGAUAGGAGCUCCUGCUGCAUGGUGGGGGUUGGAAAGUUUCGGCGGUUGGGGAUGGACUCGCGGCUUAUCAGCUUGUUGGUGGGGUAGUGGCUUACCAAGGCUUUGACGGGUAGCCGGCCUGAGAGGGUGACCGGCCACCUUGGGACUGCGAUACGGCGCAGACUCCAACGGGAGGCAGCAGUGGGAAAUAUUGCACAGUGGGCGGACGCCUGAUGCAGCAACGCCGCGUGCGGGAUGACGGCCUUCGGGUUGUAAACCGCUGUCGCCUGUGACGAAGCGUGAGUGACGGUAAUGGGUAAAGAAGCACCGGCUAACUACGUG